rnacentral:rRNA from 1 species
GGAGGUUGGCUUAGAAGCAGCCAUUCCUUUAAAGAGUGCGUAAUAGCUCACUAGUCAAGCGACUCGGCGUCGAUAAUAAUCGGGCAUAAGUCGGUUACCGAAGCUGUGGGAUUUAACGAUCGGUAGGGGAGCAUUCCAGUCAGCGCAGAAGCAGCGCCCGCGAGGGGCCGUGGAGCGGCUGGAAGCGAAAAUGUAGGCAUGAGUAACGAUAAGAAGGGUGAAAAACCCUUCCACCGUAAACCCAAGGGUUCCUGAUCAACGCUAAUCGG